GGGUGCGAUUAUACAAACACUAAUGCACCGAAUCCCAUCAAAAUUCUGCAGUUAAGCGUGCUUGGACGAUAGUAGUACUAGAAUGGGUGACCUCCUUGGAAGUCCUCGUAUUGCACCCC
rnacentral:rRNA from 1 species